rnacentral:rRNA from 1 species
GAGAGCUUGCUCUCUGGGUGGCGAGUGGCGGACGGGUGAGGAAUACAUCGGAAUCUACCUUUUCGUGGGGGAUAACGUAGGGAAACUUACGCUAAUACCGCAUACGACCUUCGGGUGAAAGCAGGGGACCUUCGGGCCUUGCGCGGAUAGAUGAGCCGAUGUCGGAUUAGCUAGUUGGCGGGGUAAAGGCCCACCAAGGCGACGAUCCGUAGCUGGUCUGAGAGGAUGAUCAGCCACACUGGAACUGAGACACGGUCCAGACUCCUACGGGAGGCAGCAGUGGGGAAUAUUGGACAAUGGGCGCAAGCCUGAUCCAGCCAUACCGCGUGGGUGAAGAAGGCCUUCGGGUUGUAAAGCCCUUUUGUUGGGAAAGAAAAGCAGCCAGUUAAUACCUGGUUGUUCUGACGGUACCCAAAG